GAUGAAGAACGCAGCGAAAUGCGAUAAGUAAUGUGAAUUGCAGAAUUCAGUGAAUCAUCGAAUCUUUGAACGCACAUUGCGCCCCCUGGUAUUCCGGGGGGCAUGCCUGUUCGAGCGUCAUUUCACCACUCAAGCCUCGCUUGGUAUUGGGCAACGCGGUCCGCCGCGUGCCUCAAAUCGACCGGCUGGGUCUUCUGUCCCCUAAGCGUUGUGGAAACUUUCGCUAAAGGGUGUUCGGGAGGCUACGCCGUAAAACACCCCCAUUUCUCAGGUUGACCUCGGAUCAGGUAGGGAUACCCGCUGAACUUAAGCAUAUCAAUAAGCGGAGGA
rnacentral:misc_RNA from 1 species